UACGGAGGAUGCGAGCGUUAUCCGGAUUUAUUGGGUUUAAAGGGUGCGUAGGCGGACGCUUAAGUCAGCGGUAAAAUUGCGGGGCUCAACCUCGUCGAGCCGUUGAAACUGGGUGUCUUGAGUGGGCGAGCAGUACGCGGAAUGCGUGGUGUAGCGGUGAAAUGCAUAGAUAUCACGCAGAACUCCGAUUGCGAAGGCAGCGUACCGGCGCCCAACUGACGCUGAAGCACGAAGGCGUGGGUAUCGAACAGG
rnacentral:rRNA from 1 species